UGAAGUGUGGUUUAACUGCAGGUAUGUCCUGAUGUAGACGUCCUCGAAAACCGUGUUGUGGAUACAAUGUCAGCCUUACUGCUUUCUCUAGUUCUCCCAG
rnacentral:lncRNA from 1 species